rnacentral:rRNA from 1 species
UACUUAGGAACAUGCCUUUGGGUGGGGGAUAACUAUUGGAAACGAUAGCUAAUACCGCAUGAUGUCUUCGGACCAAAGUGGGGACUUGUUCCUCACGCCCAGAGAGUGGCCUAAGCGAGAUUAGCUUGUUGGUGAGGUAAAGGCUCACCAAGGCGACGAUCUCUAGCUGUUCUGAGAGGAAGAUCAGCCACACUGGAACUGAGACACGGUCCAGACUCCUACGGGAGGCAGCAGUGGGGAAUAUUGCACAAUGGGCGCAAGCCUGAUGCAGCCAUGCCGCGUGUGUGAAGAAGGCCUCGG